UACGUAGGGGGCAAGCGUUGUUCGGAAUUACUGGGCGUAAAGCGCGCGUAGGCGGUCUGGCAAGUCAGAUGUGAAAGCCCCGGGCUCAACUUGGGAACUGCACAGGAAACUAGCGGGCUUGAGUUCGGGAGAGGGAAGCGGAAUUCCGGGUGUAGCGGUGAAAUGCGUAGAUAUUGGGAGGAACACCGGUGGCGAAGGCGGCCCCCUGGACCGGUACUGACGCUAAAGCGCGAAAGCGUGGGUAGCAAACGGG
rnacentral:rRNA from 1 species